GGGAGUAUAGCUCAGUGGUAGAGUGCCUGCUUAGCAUGCAAGGUCCUGGGUUCAAAACCCAGUACCUCCA
rnacentral:tRNA from 1 species